GCCAGGCACGGUGGCGCACACCUGUAAUCCCAACAGCUUGGGAGGCAGAGGCAGGAGCAUCAUGAGUUCCAAGCCAGCCUCGACACUGAGAGGCCCUAAAGCAACUUAGAGAGACCCUGUCUCAA
rnacentral:sRNA from 1 species